rnacentral:rRNA from 1 species
GAUGAACGCUGGCGGCGUGCCUAAUACAUGCAAGUCGAGCGAACAGACGAGGAGCUUGCUCCUCUGACGUUAGCGGCGGACGGGUGAGUAACACGUGGAUAACCUACCUAUAAGACUGGGAUAACUUCGGGAAACCGGAGCUAAUACCGGAUAAUAUAUUGAACCGCAUGGUUCAAUAGUGAAAGACGGUUUUGCUGCCACUUAUAGAUGGAUCCGCGCCGCAUUAGCUAGUUGGUAAGGUAACGGCUUACCAAGGCAACGAUGCGUAGCCGACCUGAGAGGGUGAUCGGCCACACUGGAACUGGGCCACGGUCCAGACUCCUACGGGAGGCAGCAGUAGGGAAUCUUCCGCAAUGGACGAAAGCCUGACGGAGCAACGCCGCGUGAGUGAUGAAGGUCUUCGGAUCGUAAAACUCUGUUAUUAGGGAAGAACAAAUGUGUAAGUAACUAUGCACGUCUUGACGGUACCUAAUCAGAAAGCCACGGCUAACUACGUG